rnacentral:rRNA from 1 species
AACAAGGUCUCCGUAGGUGAACCUGCGGAGGGAUCAUUACACAAAUAUGAAGGCGGGCUGGAACCUCUCGGGGUUACAGCCUUGCUGAAUUAUUCACCCUUGUCUUUUGCGUACUUCUUGUUUCCUUGGUGGGUUCGCCCACCACUAGGACAAACAUAAACCUUUUGUAAUUGCAAUCAGCGUCAGUAACAAAUUAAUAAUUACAACUUUCAACAACGGAUCUCUUGGUUCUGGCAUCGAUGAAGAACGCAGCGAAAUGCGAUAAGUAGUGUGAAUUGCAGAAUUCAGUGAAUCAUCGAAUCUUUGAACGCACAUUGCGCCCUUUGGUAUUCCAAAGGGCAUGCCUGUUCGAGCGUCAUUUGUACCCUCAAGCUUUGCUUGGUGUUGGGCGUCUUGUCUCUAGCUUUGCUGGAGACUCGCCUUAAAGUAAUUGGCAGCCGGCCUACUGGUUUCGGAGCGCAGCACAAGUCGCACUCUCUAUCAGCAAAGGUCUAGCAUCCAUUAAGCCUUUUUUUCAACUUUUGACCUCGGAUCAGGUAGGGAUACCCGCUGAACUUAAGCAUAUCAA